AAUCAACUCAAGCUGGUCGUGGAGGAAGAGUCCGUCCUGUUGCGGUCUCCCCUCUGAAAAUCAACGGCGGAGAGUCACUGGCAUUCGGUGUAGUAGUUUCAUUCAUCGAUCCUCCAGUGUCGUUCCUGCCAGCAAACCCCCAAGAUUCUCUU
rnacentral:misc_RNA from 1 species